UGGCGAACGGGUGAGUAAUACAUCGGAACGUGUCCGCUCGUGGGGGACGAACCAGCCGAAAGGUUGGCUAAUACCGCAUGAGUUCUACGGAAGAAAGAGGGGGACCGCAAGGGCCUCUCGCGAGCGGAGCGGCCGAUGACUGAUUAGCCGGUUGGUGAGGUAACGGCUCACCAAAGCAACGAUCAGUAGCUGGUCUGAGAGGACGACCAGCCACACUGGGACUGAGACACGGCCCAGACUCCUACGGGAGGCAGCAG
rnacentral:rRNA from 1 species